CUCCUCCCCACCAAUCCCCGCGUCCUCCUCCCCACCAACCCUAGCCAUUCCCUCGCCUCCCCUGCCCCCGUUCAUCCUCUCCAGCCGCCGCCGCCUCCCCUGUCUCUCCUCCUCUCUCCUCGUCACCAUCAUCGGGAUGCAACAGCGCAUCUGGCCGAAGGAGAGUGUGGCGGCUGUGUCUCCUAGCAAUGGCAGUGGGGACGGGUUGAUGAGGAGGCGACAACUCGAGAGGUAGGCAAGAGGAACACAACCCCCAGUUGAGGAGGAGCCGCUCGGCACAGAUGUAGCUAGGGUUUGGGUGGGGGUUGGUUCCUACACCGAUGACGGCAUUUGCCAGCAGCAGCACAUCCCUCGACUUCCGUAACCUCAGUUGCAGCUUGUCCCUGCACCCUUCUCUGGUCCUAGAUAAAACUGUCAUCUUGCUUCAGAUUCAAGUGGUUCUUCCAAGUUGAAUAAUGAGUGUGCAUGCCGCAGUAGCAAGGACAGACAACAUCAAUGCUGGUCAGCAACUAAAUCGGCAAGCAUUGAUAUUUUUAUUAGGAAGGUAACACAUCUUCCUAUACUAUAUGUUUGUGUGAUUCUGUUGCUUCUAAACCCAAUCUAUGUUGCUUCAUCUCAUGGAUGAGGGGUCGGCUACAGGAGCGCUAGGACCCUAGGAGUGGAACACCACUUCCUCCAAUAUUGCCGAGGUGCUCCUCUCCUAUGUUUUAAAGGCGUCC